rnacentral:rRNA from 1 species
CUACGGGGGGCUGCAGUGGGGAAUUUUGGACAAUGGGGGAAACCCUGAUCCAGCCAUCCCGCGUGAGUGAAGAAGGCCUUCGGGUUGUAAAGCUCUUUCGAAAGUGAAGAAAACUUAUUUCAUAAUAUGUUAUGAGUAUGACGGUAACUUUAGAAGAAGCACCGGCUAACUACGUGCCAGCAGCCGCGGUAAUACGUAGGGUGCGAGCGUUAAUCGGAAUUACUGGGCGUAAAGCGUGCGCAGGCGGUUUUGUAAGUCAGAUGUGAAAUCCCCGAGCUUAACUUGGGAACUGCGUUUGAAACUACAAGACUAGAGUGUGUCAGAGGGGGGUAGAAUUCCACGUGUAGCAGUGAAAUGCGUAGAGAUGUGGAGGAAUACCAAUGGCGAAGGCAGCCCCCUGGGAUAACACUGACGCUCAUGCACGAAAGCGUGGGGAGCGAACAGGAUUAGUACCCCUGUAGUC